UACGUAGGGUGCGAGCGUUGUCCGGAAUUAUUGGGCGUAAAGGGCUCGUAGGCGGUUUGUCGCGUCGGGGAGUGAAAACACUGGGCUUAACCGAGUGCUUGCUUUCGAUACGGGCAGACUUGAGGCAUUGAGGGGAGAACGGAAUUCCUGGUGUAGCGGUGAAAUGCGCAGAUAUCAGGAGGAACACCGGUGGCGAAGGCGGUUCUCUGGCAAUGUUCUGACGCUGAGGAGCGAAAGUGUGGGGAGCGAACAGG
rnacentral:rRNA from 1 species